rnacentral:rRNA from 1 species
GACGAACCGUGCGAACGUUGUUCGGAAUCACUGGGCUUAAAGGGCGCGUAGGCGGGCGACAUAGUCGGGGGUGAAAUCUUUCGGCUCAACCGGAAAAUAGCCUUCGAUACUGGUCGGUCUGGAGGGGGGUAGGGGCGUGUGGAACUCCGGUGGAGCGGUGAAAUGCGUUGAUAUCGGAAGGAACUCCGGUGGCGAAGGCGACUUCCUGGCCUGUUCUUGACGCUGAGGCGGCGAAAGCUAGGGGAGCAAACGGGG